CCUACGGGUGGCAGCAGUGAGGAAUAUUGGUCAAUGGACGAGAGUCUGAACCAGCCAAGUAGCGUGAAGGAUGACUGCCCUAUGGGUUGUAAACUUCUUUUAUAAAGGAAUAAAACGAGGCACGUGUGCCUUUUUGCAUGUACUUUAUGAAUAAGGAUCGGCUAACUCCGUGCCAGCAGCCGCGGUAAUACGGAGGAUCCGAGCGUUAUCCGGAUUUAUUGGGUGUAAAGGGAGCGUAGAUGGGUUGUUAAGUCAGUUGUGAAAGGUUGCGGCUCAACCGUAAAAUUGCAAUUGAUACUGGCAGUCUUGAGUACAGUUGAGGUAGGCGGAAUGCGUGGUGUAGCGGUGAAAUGCUUAGAUAUCACGAAGAACCCCGAUUGCGAAGGCAGCUUACUAAACUGUGACUGACAUUGAUGCUCGAAAGUGUGGGUAUCAAACAGGAUUAGAUACCCGAGUAGUC
rnacentral:rRNA from 1 species